GGCCCCCAUGAGCGCUGUGGGGAAACCCUUCGCUGAGCGAUCGCCGUUCAAUUCUACGAGUUUUCAGAAGAAAACGAGGACCAAGUUAAUCUCCAUACCUGGCACCAGACCAUCGGUUCAAAAUGGACAACUCUUAGUGUCGACCGGUGUCACGUCACUCGACUAUCUACUCGGUGGCGGGUUAGCAGUUGGAACAGUACUUCUCAUAGAGGAGGACCGAUAUGAUAGCUACUCUCGUAUGAUCUUGAAGUACUUCCUGGCAGAAGGAGUGGUGUGUCGACAUGAACUUUUUGUGGCGGCGGCUCAAGAUAACCCAGAUGACAUCUUACAGGAACUACCUGCUCCCAUCUUGGACGAUAUUGCCAUCCACAAACCAGUGGAGCAGCCCAGGCUGUCUUGUGAACCUCAGGACAGUUUGGAUGCCAUGAAGAUAGCCUGGCGCUAUCAGCAUCUUCCAAAAGUACAGAGUGCCCUGGCAUCCUCAUCCCGGUUUGGGCACUACUAUGAUGUCUCCAAGACGAUGGAGCCAGAAAUUCGCCAGGCAGCCAAGUGCCACCACUUCUAUCUUCCAGAACAUCCCACCCAGUCAUCACCAACACACAGUACCAUGCUUGAGUCCUACUCUGCGUUGCUGAAGUCACUUCAAGAGGUCAUAAACAGGGAGGGUUUUGAUGUAGCAGCCCCCAUGUCAAAGUCGCGUAACAUUCUGCGAAUUGGGCUUCACUCUCUCGGCUCGGCUCUGUGGGGCGAUGACCUGAGUUGCCACGACAACCCUAAAAAUGGCCACGCCCUCACUACCUUUCUCUAUGGACUGCGUGCUUUGCUGAGGUCAUCGCUAUCAGUUGCAGUAGUUACUUUGCCUUCACAUCUCAUCCAGGACAGAGCUCUAAUGGGCAGCAUAACCAGGCUAUGUGACAAUGCCAUAGCCCUGGAAUCAUUCAAAGGCUCUGAGAGAGAGACCAACCCACUCUACAAAGAUUACCAUGGUCUGCUGCAUGUACGCCAAGUACCUCACCUGAACUGUCUAGCGAGUAAACUCCCCGACCACAAGGACCUGGCCUUUAAGCUCAAGAGAAAACAGUUCAGUAUUGAGGUAAGUUGUUAAGGUUACUCAGCAUAGCCAGAGUGUCUUUAUAAACAAAACAUACUGUUAAGGGUUCAACCCUCUUGUCAAAAUCUGAUUUUUAUUUUUAUUUUGUUGGCCCAAUUUUAUACCUCUAAUGUGUUUUUGUAACUUGCCAUGCAACCAUUAUCCUAAAACAAGAGCUGAAUUUAGAUUAGUAAUUCUUUAUUGAGAAACCCAUUACAUUUGUUCCCAUUCAUCAUGUUUGUAGCGGUGCUGAAAUUAAGUGCUGAUGAUAAUGAGAAGUCUCUCACGUUAGUUCUGCCAGCCUGUUUCUACUAUUGGGUGUCAAAAUCAAAGGUGGAGCUAUUGACUGUUGCUCCCACACUUACUCCAGAGGCAACAGAGUGAGAAAAAAAAAUCUCUUUCUGUAUUCAUGAUUAUGCAAUGAAAAAUACUGGGGGAGUUUAAGUUAAAGGUAUAGUUAACGUUUGUAUAAACUGAAGAAGUAUGAAGUAAUCAUUGGUCAAGAUAUUAAUGCAUGGACAUGUCCCCAGCCAUCCAUGACAAAAAAACUACUCUGGACAGAUGCAUGAUCAGAAAAUUACACACUUUUACAUAAUGCUUGAGAUGACGUGGCCAAUCUUUCGAUUUGCUGUGUCAUAUUUGCAGUCUUGUAUAUUCCCUUUGAACUGAACAAGAGCACUGCUGACUCCAGCUACAUCAAUGACAGCUGAUGGCCUUCAUGUUGCCUCUGUGAGGGCUGAAACUCGUUUUGGAGACCGCUGAGAAGAAGGUGGCGAAGGUGCAAAAUAGACACCCUCAACACUCCUGACAGAGUGAGAUUGAGUGAGAUUGAGCUGGUGUGCAUAGCAGUGCUCAAAAUGGCCAUUUGGAUAGGUUUCCUUCAUCAAGGUCUGUAUGCUUCGGACAUUCCCGCUCAUCACGGUGACACGUUCGUAUGUUCAUGCAGUCAAAUUGUCCCCUAACUUGAGUGUCUCCACUGCACUUUUGAUGGUGUUAGACAGGCUUACAGCAAUAGUUUCAUCCCUAACUUCCACAGUCUCUAAAAACCUUUUCUCACCGUACUAUUUGGCAAUAUGUACCAGCUGGUAUGUUCACAGCAACAAAGAAUGUCUCAGCUACUUGCACAGCAACUUACUCCCUAUACACCUGGUACAUGCAGUUCACCAGCUUGUUCUGAAUCGUGCUAGAGGAUCCUUUGAAAACUGGCCUCGCAUCAUAGUGCCUCCGGAGCUGUGAGUUGCCCUCGCACAUUGUUUCAAAUAUGCCUCGGAAAAUCCCAGGCUUGAGAGGGUCCGCAAGUAGCGCCAUUUCACAUUUUCCACACAGUUUAAUACGGGUCACUCAGCACCUCAGCUUGCUGGCUUUUCUGCUCAAUUCCCUGUAUUUGUGAACUGUCAAUUUCGGUAGCUAUGUUCGCUCUGCCGGUAUGGAGUAUAGGGCAUAAACACAGCACAGGAUUGUAUGGCCUUUCCAUUUCUUCACUAAUUUUGAUCCAUGAUUUCUUCUUCUCUUUCUCUUCCUGUCAGAGACGCAUCCAUUUUGCAUGUGUCACAUCAUCACUCUCACUCAGAGCAAUCAAUCUGUCGGUGAACUACCACUCGGGAGACAAAUUAAGGGGCCCUCCUCUUAGCUCAGGCUCAUGAUUGGUCCUCAUUACAUUAUCAUUACCUUAUCACACCCUCUGGUCCCUGGCUGUUAGUGAGUCCUAUUGUCUCAGGCAGGAGGUGAGGGGGAGGAGAGGAAUGCCUCCCCCCCCUCCCCACCCACCCACCCAAAUCUUCUCCACAUCCUACAGUCAACCCCUUCUCUUUUUCUGCCAGCCUUCACCAUCCUUCUCACCCUUUCUCCUGUCUGCAUUAGCCCGCUCCCCCUCCUUUCUCUGACCCCCUGAAUAGGCCACUCCAGUAUAGAUUUAUAUGGUCCGUAAAAGUCAAGGUGGUUAUCCUCAAUGGUCUUUUAAUUAGGCCUCUGUAUUGGGCAGGCCAGGGGGCAGAGGCCUAGAGCAUUAUUGUAGCUCUGUGGGGCCUGGAUACUGUGUCAUAUAUCCCAGCAGCACAUUGUAAAGUCCACGCUUUGUCUGCCUUCCUUGUUUAAGGAGCUUUAUUGGAGUUUUUUUCUUGUUGAAUGGUAGCCAUACUCUUGUAUUGCCCUUAACACACAUAGUGUUAAAAGAGCGAUAUCCAAAGAGGGAUCAAAAUUCUAAAAUGGCUGCGAUUGUUGACACAAGAACGCAUCUAAUAUGAAAUGUCAAUCACUAUCCUUGGCCAUCACACAUUUGUAUGUGUCAGGGAAUUUCCCAGAGAACAUUGUAUCGUCACCAGUCAUGCAUCAAAUCAAUCAAAACACACAUUGUAAUACGCUUUUGUGUUCUAGUGUUGGAUUCUCUGGCACUUUGAUUGGCUGUCAUUAACGUGUACAUCACCUGAGAUAGAGAUGUCACAAAGGCAUGAGUGCAUGUUGGCUCUGCGUCCCUCGUUGCAGAGGUUGGUUAAGAUCAGUAUACCUGCGUGUGUAUCUUUGCAUGCAGGACUGGCGCUGUGCUCUGACUAUGUGGCUCAUCGUAUACUUUGUUUGACCUGUUGAUCAACUGCCUCGGUGGGCCACUGAUUGACACAUGGGAUGGUGAUUGGAUUCUAAGCCCAGUGUCUGAUGUGUGACAGCUCACACCACCCCUGCUAAUCACCUCAUUUACUCAAGCUACAGGACUCCUCUGCCUGGGGCCACAUAUAACAGCAUUCUCUUCCCAAGUUUUGUGCUCACAGUCUGUUUUCUUCCACACGUCUAUCGCAGUAAUGAUAGAGCACUGCUCCUGCUACUAUACUUUUCCUUCAACUUUUGACUCCUUUUCUACAUUUUUAAAGGCAGCGAAUUCCGCCUCACUCUGUUUCAUCUGGAUUAGUAUGUGAUAUGGUGGUGUAUGACAGUUAUUGACAGCGCUAGCUUCUCACCAGUUGGGUCAGGCAGAUACAUGUCACCCCAACUGUGCAUGGAGUCAUGCUGGUAACUAAUUUCCUAACUGUUGGUUGACUCACACGUCUAUCACCCAGCGCCUCAGGGACUCCAGCACACAGAGUACAGGUUUUGUCAAUAGAGACAUGUUUUUGUGUUCGGUUAUAAUUAAUAAUUUAUUUUUCCUAAUUUAUUAGGUCUUAGUAGCCUACAUUCAUUCGCAGCCCCGCACUCAGCACCAUCAUCGAGGUUAUCUUGGUGAAAACGUUUGACGUCUCCAAGAGUUCAAACUGCGGUUGAUGAACAGUUAUUAGCCAUGACGCCUGAAGCCAGAAUUAACCCAUGGCCCUGUCUGAGCAGGUAGGGGAGUGUUAGGUGUUUAGACCAGAUUAACACAUACUCAAACAUUGCCUAGCCCCACACACAUAUUGACAUUCAUGCAAUGACACAAGCACAUACUUAUUGAGAAACGCAUGCACGAAGGUGACACGCAAUGUGUGUCAGAAUUUUCUCACUCAUAUUCAGCCGUCACAGGCUUCUUUCACUAUACUUUCACAAUGCAAGAUGCUUUGAGGAUGAAGCUCUGAAGAAUGUAGAUGGUACGCAAUUACAUUUUCCUUACCUUUGUUUGACCCUUUAAACUGACAGGCUAUGUGCCCGUGGGGUUCUGGGGUGCCAGAGGCAGGUCACAGGGUCAAAUACAGUAUAAGACGGGGAUUUGUGUCAAAUUAGUCUUCUCCUAGUCAGGCUAUUUAGAGGUGUCCCCGACUGGCUCUGUCACUUGGAUGGCUAUGUAGGCUGUGUGCAGGUAUUUGCUACAAGCUAAUCUUUGUAGUCUUGGGAACUUUCAAUUUUAUGUUAAUGUUUUUUUUUUUAUGUUGUCAUUUUUAAGUAAUAAUCGGAGAGAGUCAGUAAAAGAAAGAUGGGAGUGAGGAGGAUAACACGCGAGGAUGGUCCGAGGCCAGAUUCCUACCCAAAAUCUUGUUGUGCCUUAAGUCACAUUGAUUAUUGUAGAUUCUUGUAAUUCUCUGUAGUAAUCGGGAUAUUUUGUUAAUCGCCGCAAUAAAAGACAAAAUAAUUGCCCAUUGUGUAAAAAAACCUGUCUCAGAGUAUUAGAAACUGCUGUGCAGUGUUUUGGCCUCUGAUAGGCCUUGAAAGUCGUGUUCUACUCAGAUUGGACUUUUUAUGAAUUUUAUGUCAUUAUCUCACCACAACCUGAAACAGCAUAUGCCCGCCAACACAGCCCCCGGUCUAUUUUAAUGCAGGCUUUGGUCUUAACAUCCAAAAUAGCAAACAAACACAGAUGCGUCAUGUCAGCCAAAGUCCGGCGUUAAAGGUAAAUAAAUGCUAAUUUAAUGGAUACGGUGCUAGGUUGACAAUGUAGUGUAUUUUUAUCUUUCAGAAGACAAAUUCUACGGUCAUACAAACGUCUCAGAUUAUCCAAUGACCUUCCAUCCCACAUGACAUGAACAUGACAUUAGCCAGCUGAGUAUAGUUUUAAGCUGAGUGGAAGCAAUGAGGGAGCAGAAAAGGGGGAUGAAGAGGAUGAUGGUGCUGAAGACUUAAAGAGAAGAGGAAGCCGAACUGAAAGAGUCCGAGGGAGGUGUAUAGAGUAGGUUAAUGUUUCUUGGCAUGUCCUCAAAACGUCUUUAAGACAACGCCUGUGUCUGCUCCCUGUUGAAGCCUGUGGGUGCCGAGGGAAGGGUGUUAAUGGACCUAUGCGAGGAACAGAGCGAAGGCUUGGAGAGGAGGGGGGGGGGGCAUAAACGGAGAGGAGCAGUUAAGUGAUUCUCAGGUCAGGUCUAAUUAAAAUGAGGACUUUUCCUCAGAGGCACCAAACCGUCUUAUUGAGAGAGAAAGAAAAAGGGAGGGAAAGAAAGAAUUGUGCAAUGCAGAAUGAAUUAGACAGAGACCCAGUCCUCAGGGCCUGUUUGUGUAUUUGCUUAUAUGUUUGUUUGUAUUUCAUGCCUGGUCGUAUAUCUGCUUCCCCAAGUCUUAAAUAAUGCUCGGUACUAAAGAUCAGAGAAAAGUCAAUGUUGAAAAGAACUCGUGUAGAGAAAAAACUCUGAACUCUGAAAAACCGAACUGGGUCAUUUAAUAUUUACUUCCAUUAGCGGAUCACAAUGAAUAUUUGCAGAUUGAGUAAACUAAAUGCAAACAACAGGCUUAUUGGAUGUCCUGAACCUAUUAGUAGAAUGCAAAAAAAUCCUUAUGUUUUUCAUACAUCUGCCAGUGAUUUGGACGCCUGCCUUGGGAAUCACGAUCAGAUGGGAAUGGACCUUUUGGAAAAAUAUUUCAAUUGAAUAAUUUAUACUUCCUCCCUUGGUGCACACCAGCCUCUGUUGCAAUUUGGAAUGAGGUGUGCUUAUGGUUUUGUGCGUGUAUGAGAAAGAGAGAGACGGAGAGUGCGGUGAAGGCCAGUCAGUGGCACGCGAUCCGACCCUUCAGCCGAACAAUAUUCACAACAUACACCAGAUUUGCAUUUAUUAUUUAACGGGGAUUUUAUCUAUUCUGCAAAUGUGCAUGUGUGUUUGAAAAGGCCCAGCUUGUAAGGUCUCUGUGCUGAGACUUUGGGUGUGUGGGGGGUGAAAACAUGUGCAUGUUUUUUGUGUUUGUUUGUUUGUUGUGGGUACCUGCUUGGUGGGACCUGCAAGUGAUUCAGCUUUGCUGCACUGGCCCAUGAACUUCAUAAAUAUUGAUAUUUGUUAAAUCUAUUGAUUGAGAAAAACAAACUUCACUUAACGGUUCCACUGAGUUGUAUGGCUGGAAAUGCAAAUUUGUCAGUGGCAUAAGGGCUCAAAUGUAUAGAGGAUGUGCUUGUCUUGACAAGGUCAAGGUUCAAAAAUCAUUCUAAGGAGACUGGCUGAAUCAGUCGUCAAUGAUUUAUUUUUUUUAAUCCUCAAAUGCCCAGGGAAAAGUAGUAGCAGUUGUGUUUGCUCUUGUCUAGUCAAAGUGCAACAAGAGAAUAUCUGGGGCUUUGCCAAAUGUGCUGCCCACUACACUAUAUCAACACAAUGCCGAAACGUUUCUUACAAACGUGGAGUACUAAAGGAAAACAAAACAGGGCAUAUGUGCUCCUCCUGCCAGAUUGAGUAAGAGUGUGGUCUGCCUGAGCUCGCCCUGGAAGUGAAGCCGUUUCAUCAGUGAGCAGUGAACCCUUAACAUGGUCCAUGCACCACUCAGCCCCCAUCAGACUAGACUGGCCACAUUGGACUCAGACCUGAUUAAAGUAGCCCAAGUUGUCUUCAGCUCCCAUUAGAGAGAGGAAGGAAAAGAGGCUGUAACUUGCAUGCCACCCCACAUCCAUGGGGUCUUGUGGUACUAUAGGGUACGUGUAAGUGUGUUCGGAAAGGGUUCGCCAUUAGCAUAAUGGUAGUGACUGGGGAACCUUAGGCCCCAUGGUGCUUAUAAACUGGGUCUUCACUGUAUCCUUGGCUUCUGAAUCAUUUUAUUGUUAUCUCCUAAUUUUGCCUUAGGUCCUUGUACUUUUCUUCUUUAAAGAAAACAACAUUAUUUACAAGACUGGUUCACUGUAAAGCCUGUGCAAAGCAUCUACUGCUUUUCCUCACAGUCAAGCAUCAUUCAUUCUUUACUUUUGUUCUUUGGUUGUGUAAACAUAAUACUUAGACUUGUUUGUUAAUAGACACUAGAAAUCAUGUGAUGCAGCAACCAAAAUAAAUUCCCUGAGUGUUUCAUUUAAUUUAUGCACUGUAUUUAUUUAACAUUAAAUAGUUAGUCACUCUGCAUUUUAGCCUACACAGAACAGGGCAUGUGCAUUUGCAAUCAUGCAGACGUUUUCAAAAAGCUAGAUGUUCAGUGCAAUAAACAAUCUACAAUUGCACUGAAAACCUGUUAACAUCAUUGCUGAGACUUGAAUAAAUGGUGGCGAAAGGUAGAAGUUGUCCUGUUUUUUGGGAUGGUGUAAUUUUAAACCAGCCAAAAUGAAAAAGUCCCCUCACUUCUGUUAGUCCACAGAGAAAGUUCAAAAUUGCCACAAUGAGCACAAACAGCUCCAUGGUCGGAGUGGUUCAAAGGUGGAAUGUUGAUCCGGAGCAGGAGCAUCCAACUCAGGAAGGCUCUCUGCUUGGGUCCUAAAAAUAACUUUCCCACACUCACUGCUCAGUGUCCUAGGGGGGUCAGGAGGAGGAGUGUGUGUAUGCAUUUCUCUGUGUGUCUGCUCAGUGUUUAUGUAUGCUAUGCUGCUGUGAUUUAAACACAUUUGAAAACACAAAUGAAUGUGUCUAACAAGAUGAUGUGUACACUCAUUUUUGGGAUUGUUUUACUAAAUAUUUGUUAUAUAAUUGGUUAAGUGUCUUCUUCUUGAGUUGAAUGGACAUCCUUGUUACACAUUGAGAGAUAUGACCAGAAAGCCUACUUUGUUUAAGGAGAGUGAAACUUAUACUUUGAUGUAUUUGCCACUAUUUGAGAUCACUUAUUACUGACAAAUCGUUUAAUGUUGUGUAAAAUAGUUAUUUGGUCAAAGGCCCAUUGAUCAUGGUGAUUCCAUGGCUUCUGCAUUUGAAAUGAACACUUUAUUCAGUGCAGCCAGCUAAAAUCAUAAACAUAAAGAUUUACUAUCAACAACAACUUUUGCAGUACGAGGUUGGCUACAUCGACAUAUAGCACCAAAUGUGUGAACACAGAAAGAGUUGCAGGCAGCAGACUUUCUACAACGUGAGACUUAAGUCUUCGGGAAGCCGAUCCACAUGAGGAGACAGUCUUAUUGUAAAGACUCCAUCAUUUCCAGACUCCUCCCAAAAGAAUAUGUGUGCUUACUUCAUUCAUUGGAUUGCACAAGAAAAAGUAGACUUACAGAUGCCAGACCAGUUGGACACUGGUCAAGCAUUUUUCUGAAUGCUUUCUCUGUCAUCAAUCCCUCAAUGAGUCCUUGCGUGAUGAAAACAAAUUGGGUGUUUUGAUCCUCUUUCUUUCUCUUUGUCUCCAAGCACACCGUAAAGGCAUUUGUUUCAGCUAAUCACGGGAGCUACUUAACCCCUGCUCCCGUGAAUAUGGUUGUAUUUAAAAAGGAUUCACCCAACAGUCAACACAGAGUUGUUUAAAGUGGCGUCGGCCAUUGAGAGAAGCUGGCCGGCCACUGAAUGUAGUAGUGCUCAUGUAUUUUAUGAGGGCAAGUGUCCCUGUCCUUCAGAGUUCACAGGUGGCUAUUGAAAGGCCUGGCCAGAUGAUGGAGGAUAGUUAGGACGCACAUGACGCCCUGAAUAGACUUUAAUUACACUCAGAUGAGUCAGGGGGCCAUUUGAAGGACAAGCCUGCACUUCAAAAGGCAAGUUAGAGGGCAAGUUGUUGGCACUUCAUCGAAUAGUUUGCGACCCCGUCUGAGAAUUAAGGUGCAUGUUUGAGUCAGUGGUCUUGCGUUUAUGCUGCAAAAAUAGAACAAAAUGCUCCUAAGCAGUGCUCACCCAAACUCACACAAAAGGCAGCGAAAGGUCAAAUCUGAGGCAAGCUUCUUAUCCGCUGGCAUAUAAUAUUGCACCAUGUUGUGUGUCACAUAAUAAGCUAAAACACGUCUCUUUGCUGUGUUCUCGCUGACUUCACAGUAUUGCUUAUUAUGCAGUUCCACUACUGUUCUUGACAUCAGUUAAAGGACUUUGCAGUCUUUUCAAAGUGUACAAACUUUGUCAGUUAUUGAUUUUUAAAAGCAGCUCUGCUGGCAGUCUUAUCACAUUGAGCCCCUGAGGUACCUCUUGCCUUCUCUUUGCCCUCAUUUUAAAAUUUGAAUAACAACAAGGUUUGCCUUGAGAUACAC